UUCUUAUGACAUAUUCAUCUUAUAUAUCUUCUGAUAUUUCUGAUUUUUAAGCUGUUGUACUUUCUCCUUUAAUUUGCCACAUAAAUCUAUGAGAUCUGGCAACACAGGAAAGAAAACACGGUCUGAUGCAAGUUGUCUGAUAAUCAGACGGGGCUUGAACAGUUUAGUCGGACCUUUCAACAAAAAAAAGUAAAUGUAUUCAAUAUCAAAACUGGAACGAGGAAGUUGGUUUGUGAGGUGUGAAAAGUGUUUGUGAACCACAACUACUGUCUAAACCGCUCAGACAGUCGUGGUGGGGACUCGACAGACGAGGACGAGGCACAUCCUGGACUGGUCGCCGGUCCAUCGCAGGAAAGACAUCCCCGUCGUAUUUAUACACCCACGGACAAAUUAUACCCUAACUCGCAUGAGGAAGUCGUAAGACGAACCCACACAGGCACGUUUAGAACAUGCACACUCCCUCCAGUGCAGCGCUAUGCACAUUUGAACUGAGGACCUCCAUUCUGUGAGGCAAACCACCGUUCCACCCUGCCAAGUAGGGUUUGGGUAAGAAAAUUGAACCUUUGUUUUUCUUUCCCCAUACUGAAUACAUAUCACGUUACCUCUCCAAAUGUGAGUGAGAAACAACACCCGAUUCUUGAAGCAGUUUUGUCUCCCACCCAAAGGCUUCCUCGUUUCUCUAUGAAUGUAGAUAUACUUGUGUUCCUUGUCACAAUCAGAUCAUGUUGAAACGAUACCCCCCACAUGGUUGAACCCAAGCUAGAAGCUCCUGGUAAAAGAACGUGAGGAUGUAGCAAAAUGAACCGAGAAAGCUAAAAACACAAACUUCCACGCGGCUGGUUGGACGUGUGGGAAGAAGGUAUGAGAUGACAGGAAAGGCCCGAUGACUCAGACAGGAAGUUUCAAGCACCUGAGAAGAUGACAGCUUGACCCCCUGAGUCCGCCUUCACACAGCUGGCCCUCUAAGAGGGUCCGGGGGGGUCCGGCUGAAGGUCCACUAAGCCCCUCACAGUCCAUAUGGCCAGGGGGGCUUACGCACCCCGCGAUGACACGAGAAGGCGAGCCCAGAGGCUGGAAACGCGGCGCGGAGACAUUCAGAGAUGUGCGCUCAUGUGCGACACACUCUAGGAAAGGCCUCAUUUGUGUGAGCCCACGCACAUGUUUGGAUAACCACUUGUCUGGCUGCAAGGCGAGAGCGGGGGAAACUAACUCUACAGGAUGUGUGGCAUGGUGGAAUGUGUGCGUGUGUGUGUGUGUGUGUCAGGGUAAAUAAAGGAAGAGCAAUAAUGACUGUGAGUCAUAUGAUCCGGCUGCACGGUCAUACUAAUGGCAUUAGCCCCAUCGAGAGACCUGCAGGACUCCUCCUGUCCUUCUUGUCGCUGUGUUUCCUCCUCUCCUCUUCUCAGUUUCCUUCUCCUCGGUCCAACACGUCUUCCUCUCCGUCACUCAGCUUGUUUAUUGAUCUGUUUUAGAUUGUUCUAGACACACUGCCGCUGCAACUAUUAGGACUACCCACCUUUUUAAUUAGAUGGAAUCUCAUUACAGACCCAGAGAUACACUAACGCGAUAUCAAUCAUUUUUAUAGCGAUCAACUUGAUGUUCCAAAUUGAAAGAGGAUCAAGUGAAUAUUCUAAGAUACUGAACGUGUGAAGAGCCUGUUGUAAUUAUCCUAAGAAUACAGAUGGGUUUGUUGUUUUUUAAUGUCAGUCAGAUGUUUUGUUACAUGUGGAAAACAGAUUUGAAGUCAUAUGGAUAAUUAAUCAGCUGAAACUAGUGCUGAACACACAUCAAAGGAAUGGUUUCAUUUUGGGAUAUAUGUGUUUUUGGGCUUUUCCUGCUGAAAGAGUUCGGGUUGAAAAUAAAUGAUACCACAUGUGAUCGGUAAAUGUGAAGCUGAUGCGAGCACCCUGCUAGCUUAGCAUGAAAAGCUACCCUGGCUCUGUCCAAAGGCUAACAGAUGUCAACAAUUGUCUACCACAACAACAACAUUAAAGCUCCCUACAGCAAGUCAA